CACCGAUCAAAAGGGAAAAGAUUUUUACCUUCGUUUGAUUGUACGAUUGUGUGAAAUUCUCCUUCCUCGACUCCUCUAUCCUCUAUCCUCUAUCCACGUUGGUGUAUACAGAGAAUUUAGAUGGUGCUGGGGUAUAAUCGGUUCAAGUUCGUGGCUGUCCGCGUUGAAGUACCCGAUUUUCUUUAGAACGAAGGAUGUAUUAAAUUAAAUUUUCAUUGAACUUUUGUUGGAUGUAUCGGACAUUAAAACUUUAAAUUUUGGGGUUUUAUUUAUUUA